AGCAGCCGCGGUAAUUCCAGCUCCAAUAGCGUAUAUUAAAGUUGUUGCAGUUAAAAAGCUCGUAGUUGAAUUUCGAGAUCAAAAUUGUUGGUCGUGCCUUGGUACGUACUGGCAUUAUUGGUUUCUCCCUUCUGACGAACCAAGAUGUCAUUAAUUUGGUGUCUUGGGGAAUCAGGACCGUUACCUUGAAAAAAUUGAGUGUUUAAAGCAGGCUCGCGCUUGAAUACAUUAGCGUGGAAUAAUGAAAUAGGACGUUUGAUUCUAUUUUGUUGGUUUCUAGGAUCGACGUAAUGAUUAAUAGGGAUAGUUGGGGGCAUUAGUAUUCAAUUGUCAGAGGUGAAAUUCUUGGAUUUAUUGAAGACUAACUACUGCGAAAGCAUUUGCCAAGGAUGUUUUCAUUAAUCAAGAACGAAGUUAGGGAUCGAAGACGAUCAGAUACCGUGUAGUCUUAACCAUAAACUAUGACCGACUAGGGAUCGGAUGAUGUUUAAUUUUUUAAUGUACUNUAUUCGGCGCCUUA
rnacentral:rRNA from 1 species